CCUACGGGGGGCAGCAGUGAGGAAUAUUGGUCAAUGGACGAGAGUCUGAACCAGCCAAGUAGCGUGAAGGAUGACUGCCCUAUGGGUUGUAAACUUCUUUUAUAAAGGAAUAAAACGAGGCACGUGUGCCUUUUUGCAUGUACUUUAUGAAUAAGGAUCGGCUAACUCCGUGCCAGCAGCCGCGGUAAUACGGAGGAUCCGAGCGUUAUCCGGAUUUAUUGGGUUUAAAGGGAGCGUAGAUGGGUUGUUAAGUCAGUUGUGAAAGUUUGCGGCUCAACCGUAAAAUUGCAAUUGAUACUGGCAGUCGUGAGUACAGUUGAGGUAGGUGGAAUUCGUGGUGUAGCGGUGAAAUGCUUAGAUAUCACGAAGAACCCCGAUUGCGAAGGCAGCUUACUAAACUGUGACUGACAUUGAUGCUCGAAAGUGUGGGUAUCAAACAGGAUUAGAUACCCUAGUAGUC
rnacentral:rRNA from 1 species